UGAAUCUGUUAAGAGAAAGAAAUCUUUUUAUGUAACACUGUCCUGGUUUUUAAGUCUGGAAUGCAUCGUAUACGUUUUGUUUUGCGCAUGCGUUUAGUUGCCAGUGUCACGUGAGUUGAUAUGCCGCUGUUGUCAAUCGUAGGUUAGGAAGCUUGCUUGAAAUAUUUUUGCAAGCUCAAUCAGUCAGUUAUCAUUAAUUAUGAUCUACAUUACGUACUAUGGUCCAACAAACAAGACGCAAUAUUUCCAUUCGUAAGAAUAGAAGUUAAAUCGCAUAAAAACGAUAGGAAAAGAGCGAUACAUUGAAGGAAAUUAUUACUGAACCUUAGUACAAACUACGUAUAAACUUUUGCCUUGAGAAAAAGAAAAGAGAAGAAGAAGAAAAUGAAUAUCGAAUACAAAUUUGAGAAAGAACUUGACUGCAAGCAAGGAGCUGUCAGAUCUGUACGAUUCAGUGUGGACGGUUCAUACUGCAUAACGUGCGGAUCAGAUAGGAAGGUGAAACUGUGGAAUCCGUACAAUGCUGUCACAUUGAAAACGUAUGGUGGCCACGGUGACGAGGUUAUGGACGCCUGCGCGUCCUGCGACAGCAGCCAGAUAGUAUCUUGUGGAUUGGACAAAUCUGUAAUUGUUUGGGAUGUAGCAACAGGCAUGCCAGUGCGUCGUUUCAGAGGACAUGCAGGUCCUGUCACUACGGUCAGGUAUAAUGAAGAAUCAUCAAUGAUCAUUUCUGGAUCUCGUGACAACAGUGUUUUGUGUUGGGAUGGACGUUCCAAGGCGCAAGAACCAGUACAGUCUUUGAAUGAUGCCAAGGAUUCUAUUUCGAGCGUGAGAGUUUCAGAUCAUGAAAUUUUGUCCAGUUCGUUUGAUGGUAAAGUACGCACCUAUGAUAUACGAGUAGGAGAACUUUGUGAGGAUUAUGUGGGAGACGCAGUCACUUGCGCCAGUUUUACCAGAGAUGGACAGUGUCUAGUCAUCAGUUGUGCAGACGACGUAAUCAGAUUGCUCGACAAAGACUCAGGAGAGCUACUUGGCGAAUUCACAGGGCACACUGGCAAGGAUCUGUGUCUAGAAUCAAGCGUAGACUACCAAGACACGAAAAUUCUUUCUGGUUCGGCGGAUGGAAAGUUGUGGAUUUGGGAUCUUGUGUCUCAGAAAGUGGUUGCAAAGCUCUCGGGUUUUAAGCCAACCAAGUAUCCUACUGUAUCUAUAAGCGUUCAUCCGCAGAAGAACUGCUUUUUGGCUUCUAAUGGAUCUAAUGUAUUGAUGUGGAGUAUGCAGUCUCACACAGACGAAAAAGAAUAAUAGUGAAACCUGUUCCAUUACUGUCCCUUUGUAUUCAAACUGGAAACCAAAUAUUGACAUUCGUGAGAGAGAAACAACGAGGAAUGCAUUAAUCCCGUUCGACUGACAAACGAAGGAAAAAAAGAAAACCGGAAACCUUCAGGAAUAAUGCCCGUAUAAUUCGCAUACAAAUGCAGGUGUGCGUUCACGUUGGCGACGCGUGAAUCUCAUGUUUUUUUAUUUUAUUCGUCGUUGCGGAAGGAGGCGGUGUCUUCGGUUGACUUCCCGGGUUAAGCUGAGCUGGAUAUCGUACGAUUCACACGUGUGCGACCCGCGUGAACCGUAAACGCGGACUUUCGAGCGCGUAAACGUCUCGACGCUGACGCAGAAGGUGACGACGAGGACGGCGGGGAAGGCAAGCGGGAAAGGAGAGCGCACAAUGAAACGAGAGGAGCGAAACUGCGCGCGCAGGUGGCGCGAUAUCGGUGCGUCAGAGUCCGUGGCUCGUGGCCGGUGUAGUCUCGCCCGGGAGAACGCGCGCGCGAAAGAGAGACAGAAAGCGGCGUCGCUCGCCUGGUGAUCGAGCGUGGCAGAGAGAAGCGACAGAGAGCGAGAGAAACCGGCUGAAUCGCAGUGGCGGAUUAAAGGACCCACGAAGUUUUUGUUUCGAGACUUCCUAUCGCUGAUCGUCGCCUCCCACCUGAAGAAGAGAAUCGGAAGGCGCUGACGCCUCGGCGCGACAAUCCGCCACUGUCGAAUCGGCGGCGACAGCGGCAGCGACGGCGGCCGGGCGAGGAAAGACGAGGGAGAAGGACGGAUAUACCUCGCGGGACGCGCACGGAGGUGGCCGCACACGGGGCGGGCCGGUCGGUCUUACCACUUCGUGGAGAGUAUUUUUUCUUGCUGCACGUAACCGCGUAAUAAGCGGAGAGUGACUGACUGCCUGACAGAAAGAAGGACAGGCAACGAGGCGGUAAAGGUUGUUGAAAAAAA